AUUGAACGCUGGCGGCAGGCCUAACACAUGCAAGUCGAACGGUAACAGGAAGCAGCUUGCUGCUUUGCUGACGAGUGGCGGACGGGUGAGUAAUGUCUGGGAAACUGUCCGAUGGAGGGGGAUAACUACUGGAAACGGUAGCUAAUACCGCAUAACGUCGCAAGACCAAAGAGGGGGACCUUAGGGCCUCUUGCCAUCGGAUGUGCCCAGAUGGGAUUAGCUAGUAGGUGGGGUAACGGCUCACCUAGGCGACGAUCCCUAGCUGGUCUGAGAGGAUGACCAGCCACACUGGAACUGAGACACGGUCCAGACUCCUACGGGAGGCAGCAGUGGGGAAUAUUGCACAAAGGGCGCAAGCCUGAUGCAGCCAUGCCGCGUGUAUGAAGAAGGCCUUCGGGUUGUAAAGUACUUUCAGCGGGGAGGAAGGGAGUAAAGUUAAUACCUUUGCUCAUUGACGUUACCCGCAGAAGAAGCACCGGCUAACUCCGUG
rnacentral:rRNA from 1 species